rnacentral:rRNA from 1 species
CGACGGGUGAGUAAUGCUUGGGAACAUGCCUUGAGGUGGGGGACAACAGUUGGAAACGACUGCUAAUACCGCAUAAUGUCUACGGACCAAAGGGGGCUUCGGCUCUCGCCUUUAGAUUGGCCCAAGUGGGAUUAGCUAGUUGGUGAGGUAAUGGCUCACCAAGGCGACGAUCCCUAGCUGGUUUGAGAGGAUGAUCAGCCACACUGGGACUGAGACACGGCCCAGACUCCUACGGGAGGCAGCAGUGGGGAAUAUUGCACAAUGGGCGCAAGCCUGAUGCAGCCAUGCCGCGUGUGUGAAGAAGGCCUUCGGGUUGUAAAGCACUUUCAGUCAGGAGGAAAGGUUAGUAGUUAAUACCUGCUAGCUGUGACGUUACUGACAGAAGAAGCACCGGCUAACUCCGUGCCAGCAGCCGCGGUAAUACGGAGGGUGCGAGCGUUAAUCGGAAUUACUGGGCGUAAAGCGUACGCAGGCGGUUUGUUAAGCGAGAUGUGAAAGCCCCGGGCUCAACCUGGGAACUGCAUUUCGAACUGGCAAACUAUAGUGUGAUAGAGGGUGGUAGAAUUUCAGGUGUAGCGGUGAA